GGAGAGGUGACCGAGUGGCUGAAGGUGACGGUCUCGAAAACCGUUGUACUCCGUAAGGGGUACCGUGGGUUCGAAUCCCACCCUCUCCGCCA
rnacentral:tRNA from 1 species